rnacentral:rRNA from 1 species
GACGCUGGCGGAAUGCUUUACACAUGCAAGUCGAACGGCAGCACGGAGAGCUUGCUCUCUGGUGGCGAGUGGCGAACGGGUGAGUAAUAUAUCGGAACGUAUCCAAUAAUGGGGGAUAACGAGUCGAAAGAUUCGCUAAUACCGCAUACGCCCUACGGGGGAAAGCAGGGGAUCGUAAGACCUUGCGUUAAUGGAGCGGCCGAUAUCUGAUUAGCUUGUUGGUGAGGUAAAGGCUCACCAAGGCGACGAUCAGUAGCUGGUUAGAGAGAACGACCAGCCACACUGGAACUGAGACACGGUCCAGACUCCUACGGGAGGCAGCAGUGGGGAAUUUUGGACAAUGGGGGCAACCCUGAUCCAGCCAUUCCGCGUGAGUGAAGAAGGCCUUCGGGUUGUAAAGCUCUUUCGCAAGGGAAGAAAACUUAUGAUCGAAUAAAUCAUGAGGUUGACGGUACCUUGAUAAGAAGCACCGGCUAACUACGUGCCAGCAGCCGCGGUAAUACGUAGGGUGCGAGCGUUAAUCGGAAUUACUGGGCGUAAAGCGUGCGCAGGCGGUUUUGUAAGUCGGAUGUGAAAUCCCCGGGCUCAACCUGGGAACUGCGUUCGAAACUGCAAGGCUAGAGUGUGUCAGAGGGGGGUAGAAUUCCACGUGUAGCAGUGAAAUG